rnacentral:lncRNA from 1 species
AUUCAGUAUUCCAUGCAUGUACCGCAAAUUUGAUGUGAUGGGGAAUCUUCUUUUUGCAUAGUAUCAAAGUUGGGAUUUUGGAGUGAACUAAACAUGGCCUAGGCAAGCAGCAUUCCAUGGAUCAGGUCAUCAGGACUGCCCAACCUUGACCUCUUCUUCCCUGGGAAGACUUCCUGUUCCUGUAUGGCCGUAGCCCGUAGCCCACUAGCCCAUAUUAAUUGUCACAAAGUACAGGCACCAGUCAUUUGCAAGCAACAUUCCUUGCUCAGUUUCUUAAGAGAUACUAAUGUUCUAUCUGAACUCUGAAACUAGAACAAAACAUUCGUUGGCUCGUUUCCAAGCAAAUGUUGCAUGUUAACGCCCCAAAAUCCAAAGGUUUUACUGUGUCAAUAUCUUUUGACAGGACAUGACUACCACUAUGCCAUUAAUUUACAUGAAGAACUACAUCACCAGCAUUCAGAUUAUAUAACAAAAAAUAGAAAACAACUCAACUAAAUUGAACGAAUCAGGAAAAAAAAGAGGAAUUUUUAUCUGUAGCUAGUUUACCCAUCGAAUCCCCGCCUUUCCGCGGGCGCGCUUGAAGAAGUGGACGGCAUGGGCGCCGCCGCUGGGCUCCUCGUCAGUUGGAGGGCGCCGGGCGGCGCCUCCUCGGUCCUCGCCAGCCAUGGUUACCGCCGCCUACCCGGUCGCCCCCUCGGCGCCGGACGCCGCUUGGGCAGGGCUCAUUUUACGUUUUCUACUCAGGCUUGUGCUUGGG